GCCCAAAUAAGAGCUCUUGCAAUCCAACAUUUAAUAAACUGCCCAGAACAUUUCAUAGAGUCUAAUACUGAACAAUCCUGGUUGCAUUAUUUACAGAAUAUGUCAAGGCUAGGCUCAUGGGCAGACCAUAUUAUCAUACAGGCAGUUGCGAAUGCAAAUAAUUUAAGAAUUCACAUCACAGAAAGUGCGCAAAAUUUUACUGAAACUACAGUUGUAACCUCUAUUUAUGCUCAGGGAAAUGUAAGAGAUAUUUAUAUCGGACAUCUUGACGAACUGCAUUAUGUUUCUACAAC